rnacentral:rRNA from 1 species
UACGUAGGGUGCAAGCGUUUGUCCGGAAUUAUUGGGCGUAAAGAGCUCGUAGGCGGUUUGUUGCGUCGGCUGUGAAAUCCCGAGCUCAACCUCGGGUCUGCAGUCGAUACGAGCAAACUAGAGUGUUGCAGGGGAGACUGGAAUUCCUGGUGUAGCGGUGAAAUGCGCAGAUAUCAGGAGGAACACCGGUGGCGAAGGCGGGUCUCUGGGCAACAACUGACGCUGGAGGAGCGAAAGCGUGGGAGCGAACAGG